GCUAACUUGUAUAUAUGGUAAGGAGAAACAUGGAAAAGAAAUAGAAAAGAGAUUGGGUUGUACAUUUGGCAAAAUAUGAGAAGGAAACCUUGUUGUCAUGUCUUGUAAAAUCCCUGUAAUCCUUGGAUAUAGGGUCGUGCCAAGCUCAACUCAUCUCUAAUCUCAAUCAUCAAUGGUCAGCGUUGAUUAAGAGUCCUAGUCCCGGCAAUCCUCUCCUCUGCGGUUCCUCUACCUCCCCAAGCAAGAGCCUGGAAAAGCCUGAAUCCUGAAACCUUCAAACACUGUCUUCCCUGGAACUCAUUCCGUUUCCUGAUUUCUAACUCACUCCCUUCUUCGACUUCAUUCAUACACAAAACAUGAGCCCUAUAAAGAAAUCUGCAUCUGCGCCCCUUCUCCAUUUGCGUCCUUUAGGGAGAGGAACGCCUGCUUUCAAGCCUUCCCUUUUCGAAACGAUGCGUCGUUGGGCUUUUACCAUCCUUAUUUUUGCUUCCAUUUCCAUUUUCCUCUGUGUUUCUUUCUCUCUUUGCUCGUCUCGCAACCCCAUGUAUGCAACCCAACUCAUUUUUCCCUCUGCCAACAUCUCCAACACCGAUUCUUCUCUUCUUGCCAUCAAAGAAGACCAAAAUAGCCCCACUCGUCGUGUUUCUUCCUUUCAAGAUUCUAAUUCUAUUGCUUCUGUCUCCGUUUUGUUGCCGGAAUGGCAGGUUCUCGUCAUCAUCUCGCCGGACGCGGACCCUUUGCCGCUUUCCGUCGGGAAUUUCACCUGUCUUUAUGCCAACAACGCCACUGCUCCUGCCAGAUUCUCUGGAAUCUUGUCUUCCACGAACCAAACUACUUUCAAGUGUAUUCUUCCCAGAAGCAUACGGCGUCGAUUGCCUUUCGCGGCUCCAAUGUUGAUGGAAUCAUCGGAGAAGGAAUCGCCCGUUCAUUGGCCGUAUUCUCCACCGCAAGAAUUGCUCAGGUGGACAUACCUUGUGUACGAGUCGUUCUCCACAGUGGACGACGUCGUUCUCUUCGUUAAAGGCCCGAACAACCGCCAAGGAAUCAACAGGUCUCCUAGCGAAUUCAAGUGCGUGUUCGUCGACGAGGCCAGCAGCAAAACCGUUAAAACCGCCGUUACGAGCUCAAUACAAGAGGUGUUCAGGUGUGAUCAUCCAGAUUUAACGGCUUUUGGUUCUGGCGGGGAUAAUGACGCAAUCAAAAUCAAAAUCUUUCUUGAAACCAUGGGCACAGGGCCAAAAAAGGUAGUUCCUUCCGUAGCGUACUACACCCCUCGGGACAAGAUAGCAAAAGAACAGCCAAAAUCCCAACUGUGCGCCUCCACCAUGGUUUACAACGUGGGAAAGUUCUUGAGAGAAUGGAUCAUGUACCAUUCAAAGAUUGGCGUGGAAAAGUUCAUAUUAUACGAUAAUGACAGUGAUGAUGAUUUGAUCAGCGUGGUUAAUGAUCUUAAUCAAGAGGGUUAUAACGUAGAAACGUUAUUAUGGACGUGGCCUAAGACUCAAGAAGCUGGAUUUUCCCAUGCUGCAGUAUACGCAAAAGACUCAUGCAAUUGGAUGAUGUACAUAGAUGUUGAUGAAUUUGUGUUCGCACCAUCAUGGGAUAAUUCAACUCAACCCUCUGAUCAAAUGCUAAAAUCUUUGCUGCCGUCAUCUUCCCAUGGCCACCGCCAUAUGAUUGGAGAAGUUUCGAUAAUGUGCAACGAAUUUGGUCCGUCGCAGCAAAGGUCGCACCCAGAGGAGGGGGUGACACAAGGGUACACUUGUAGAAGAAAGGUAGAGAAUCGGCACAAGUCUAUAGUCUUAUUAGAAGCAAUCGAUGAUUCUUUGCUUAACGUGAUACACCAUUUUAGUUUAAAGAAAAGUUAUAGAAUGAAGCAUUUGAGUUUGGAAGCUGCGGUGGUGAACCAUUACAAGUACCAAGCGUGGUUGGAGUUUAAAGCCAAGUUUAGGAGAAGAGUAUCGGCUUAUGUGGUGGAUUGGAUGAGUGCAUUGAACCCUUUGUCCAAGGACAGAACCCCAGGAUUAGGGUACGAAGCAGUGGAGCCACAAGGGUGGGAAAACAAGUUCUGUGAGGUGAGAGAUGAGAGAUUGAAGUUGCUGACACAGAGAUGGUUUCGUACAGAAACAGAAAGAGGAUACAAAAUGGCAUGGCAAAGUUGAUUUUCAAUUUAUACAAUUGCAGGAGUUGUAGCAUGACAUGAAGGGUUCGGUUCAAGAGAAACCCUAUUGACCUUUUCUUUUUUCUGUAUCUUUUCUGGUAAUGUAUUAUAUUAGGAGUUGACGACAUGUACCCAAGAAUGACUUAAAAAUUGGAUGACUGAUUCUCUAAGGUUUUAGUCUUCUGGACGUUAAAUAUGUG
rnacentral:misc_RNA from 1 species